GGAGGAGCCUUCAGGCAUCGUUCACCCUCUCAUCCCCUCAAAAUGUUUCCAGAGCCCCCCACAUGUGUCAGGUUGUGUAUCAGGCACAGAGGGUCCAGAUGCCAUCAAACACAGCUCACCGCCAAGGGUAAGAACGAAGAUUGAGCGAAAUCACUUUCGAGAAGCGCCUAGCACAUCGCUUGCCACAGAGAGAUGUCUCCUGUAACUCACAGCUAACCCCCUCACGGGUGACCUGGGACAGAGGACUGCCCUCCUCUGGCUCAUCACCCCCCACCCAUGUCUGGGAUCUGUAAGUAAUAAAUCUUGUG